GAUGAACGCUGGCGGCGUGCCUAAUACAUGCAAGUCGAGCGAACAGACGAGGAGCUUGCUCCUCUGACGUUAGCGGCGGACGGGUGAGUAACACGUGGAUAACCUACCUAUAAGACUGGGAUAACUUCGGGAAGCCGGAGCUAAUACCGGAUAAUAUAUUGAACCGCAUGGUUCAAUAGUGAAAGACGGUUUUGCUGUCACUUAUAGAUGGAUCCACGCCGCAUUAGCUAGUUGGUAAGGUAACGGCUUACCAAGGCAACGAUGCGUAGCCGACCUGAGAGGGUGAUCGGCCACACUGGAACUGAGACACGGUCCAGACUCCUACGGGAGGCAGCAGUAGGGAAUCUUCCGCAAUGGGCGAAAGCCUGACGGAGCAACGCCGCGUGAGUGAUGAAGGUCUUCGGAUCGUAAAACUCUGUUAUUAGGGAAGAACAAAUGUGUAAGUAACUAUGCACGUCUUGACGGUACCUAAUCAGAAAGCCACGGCUAACUACGUG
rnacentral:rRNA from 1 species